AUCUGAUGAAGAAACAAACUCAUCUAAACCUCGGAUGUCCUGAGGGUGAGAACAUUUUCAGCACAUUUUCAUUUUUGUGUGAACUGUUCCUUUAAAUAAUUAUUCCUGGCUUAGUUUCAGUUUGAAUUCAGAAGCAUGUCUUAUUGUGCCUGAUACUGAGCAUUUAUGAGCGUUUACUUUUACCAUGCUUUAAAUGCUGUCUGUGAUGAAGUGGAUGCUGGAGAUGCUCUCAUGCAAUUGUCAUAAUAUUGUCACUAACUGAAUACAAAAUCACAGUAUUUAAAAAAAAAAAAGAAAAGUCUGCACACAUCAAACUGCCUUGACUCUCUUUGUUUCUCUCUCUUUCAUCAGACUUGUUGAAAAAAAAAAAAAGAUGGGAAAGAAAAAAACUUUUUUUUCUUCACAUGUGCUUCAGACAAUAGAGACUGAAUCUGAAAUCAGAAUUGCUCAACUUUGUGGCCACAAUUAUAAUUUUUUUAUUAAUAAGCACCGGCUGUGCUUUAAAGGCUCGUCUCAUCGGCUUCUUCAAGCGUUCGUGAAGCCAUCUGUUUGAGCCUUUGUGCCUCUGUGCAGAUGUUGGAGAGAGAUUUCAGGACUCGUUUCUAAAGACUCGGGGGAGAGAAGCGUUUAGAUAAGCAUGUUAAAUUGAAGCACUUCAGACGUGGCAUUCAUCUGUCCAACAUCACAUUUCAAAUUCAAUCCUAUGUGCAUAAAAUAAAUCAUAACAUGCAGAAGCUGCUUUUUUGACUAGUGCUUCAGGCAAUAACACACUGAUGCUAUUUGCACUUUUAAUCACUGUCAUUGUUCUCCUGAACUUUCUAUUCAUCUGUGAAUCCUGAAAAUUAAAAAGUAUGACGGUUUCC